rnacentral:rRNA from 1 species
GACGAACGCUGGCGGCGUGCCUAAUACAUGCAAGUAGAACGCUGAAGGAGGAGCUUGCUUCUCUGGAUGAGUUGCGAACGGGUGAGUAACGCGUAGGUAACCUGCCUGGUAGCGGGGGAUAACUAUUGGAAACGAUAGCUAAUACCGCAUAAGAUUGACUAUUGCAUGAUAGUCAGUUAAAAGGUGCAAUUGCAUCACUACCAGAUGGACCUGCGUUGGAUUAGCUAGUUGGUGGGGUAACGGCUCACCAAGGCGACGAUACAUAGCCGACCUGAGAGGGUGGUCGGCCACACUGGGACUGAGCACCGGCCCAGACUCCUACGGGAAGCAGCAGUAGGGAAACUUCGGCAAUGGACGGAAGGCUGACCGAGCAACGCCGCGUGAGUGAAGGAGGUUUUCGGAUCGUAAAGAUCUGUUGUAAGAGAAGAACGAGUGUGAGAGUGGAAAGUUCACACUGUGACGGUAUCUUACCAGAAAGGGACGGCUAACUACGUG